UACAGAGGGGCAAGCGUUAUUCGGAAUUAUUGGGCGUAAAGGGCGCGUAGGCGGCUUGGCAAGUGGAUGGUGAAAUCCCUCGGCUUAACCGAGGAACUGCCGUCCAAACUGCUUUGCUUGAGACCGGGAGAGGUGAGUGGAAUUCCCAGUGUAGCGGUGAAAAUGCGUAGAUAUUGGGAGGAACACCAGUGGCGAAGGCGGCUCACUGGACCGGUACUGACGCUGAUGCGCGAAACGGUGGGG
rnacentral:rRNA from 1 species